rnacentral:lncRNA from 1 species
UCCUCUUAACCAAGAAGUGUGAAGACACUGGUAUGGCAUAUAGGUGAGAUAUAGGAGUACAUCAUCAUCGAAUAAUGACUCAUCUACGGAGUGCUCUACUGUUAAGGAAAGCUCUCGAAGGAUAUGGGCAUAAGUAUCUCUCUAACCUGAGAUCACCAUGGUGACUUGCAAGCAAUUCACUAUGCUUUGGUGUCGGACUACCUAUAUUUCUAAUACAGUGAUGGAAGGCUACUGGGUACAGUCAAGUACUUAUGA